rnacentral:ncRNA from 2 species
GGUUGGAGUUGAAAAGCUUUCAAGAAUUCGCCUUUUUGGGUCAAAAGGC